CCAGUAUCCAGUCUGGAGCUAACACGGGUGCUGCAUGGCUGUCGUCAGCUCGUGCCGUGAGGUGUAUGGUUAAGUCCCACAACGAGCGCAACCCUCGUCGCUAGUUAAUUCCCUAGCGAGACCGCCUCGCAAAACGAGGAGGAAGGUGGGGAUGGCGUCAAGUCAGCAUGGCCUUUAUACCCUGGGCGACACACACGCUACAAUGGGUGGUACAGUAGGUAGCGAAGGAGCGAUCCGGAGCAAAUCUUUAAAACCAUCCUCAGUACGGAUUGCAGGCUGCAACUGCCUGCAUGAAGUUGGAGUUGCUAGUAAACGCAGGUCAGCACACUGCGUUGAAUACGUUCUCGGGCCUU
rnacentral:rRNA from 1 species